rnacentral:rRNA from 1 species
AGAGUUUGAUCAUGGCUCAGAUUGAACGCUGGCGGUAUGCCUAACACAUGCAAGUCGAACGGUAACAGAGAGAAGCUUGCUUCUUUGCUGACGAGUGGCGGACGGGUGAGUAACGCGUGGGAAUCUACCCAGUAGUUGGGGAUAGCCCGGAGAAAUCCGGAUUAAAACCGAAUAAUAUCUACGGAUGAAAGGGUGCCUCUUCUUGAAAGCACUUGCUAUUGGAUGAGCCCGCGUUAGAUUAGUUAGUUGGUGGGGUAAAGGCCUACCAAGACUGCGAUCUAUAGCUGGUUUGAGAGGAUGAUCAGCCACAUUGGGACUGAGACACGGCCCAGACUCCUACGGGAGGCAGCAGUGGGGAAUAUUGGACAAUGGGCGCAAGCCUGGUCCAGCAAUACCGCGUGUGUGAAGAAGGCCUUCGGGUUGUAAAGCACUUUUAUAUGGGAAGAAGUGUUGUGUGUUAAUAGCGCAUAACAUUGACGGUACCAUAGGAAUAAGCACCGGCUAACUCCGUGCCAGCAGCCGCGGUAAUACGGAGGGUGCGAGCGUUAAUCGGAAUUACUGGGCGUAAAGGGUACGUAGGCGGCUUAAUAAGUCAGAUGUGAAAUCCCCGGGCUUAACCUGGGAACUGCAUUUGAAACUGUUGAGCUAGAGUGAGUGAGAGGUAAGUGGAAUUCAAAGCGUAGCGGUGAAAUGCGUAGAGGUCUUGAGGAACAUCAGUGGCGAAAGCGACUUACUGGCACUACACUGACGCUGAGGUACGAAA